rnacentral:rRNA from 1 species
UACGUAGGGUGCAAGCGUUGUCCGGACUUAUUGGGCGUAAAGAGCUCGUAGGCGGCUUGUUGCGUCGGCUGUGAAAACCCGGGGCUCAACCCCGAGCCUGCAGUCGAUACGGGCAGGCUAGAGUCCGGCAGGGGAGACUGGAAUUUACGGUGUAGCGGUGAAAUGCGUAGAUAUCGUAAGGAAGACCAGUGGCGAAGGCGGGUCUCUGGACAGUUCCUGACGCUGAGGCACGAAGGUCAGGGGAGCAAACGGG